GGAGGAUUGCUUUUAAUACGAGUUUUUGAGAAUGGGUUGCGUAAGUGCUCUGAUUAUGGCAAAAAGUCCCCGUAUUUAUGAGAGUUGAGAGUUGCGAAAAGUGGCAUAAACUAACGCGUAAUUUUGAUUGGGUGCCGUAUCAGUUCUCCCUGUCCCGGUUAGAAUGUUCUUCAAGAAAGAGCCGAGUUUGCAUUUUUCGGGCGGCUGGCGGUGACCGUUUAAAACUUUAAAUAUGACAAUGACAUGAUCAAUGUAUCCCAUUAUUUUUUUCUCUUCUCGAAGCAGGAAGACGGCAAUGACACGAUCGAUAUAUCCCAAAUGAUUUGAAUAUUUGAAUUUGUC
rnacentral:misc_RNA from 1 species